GACGGGGGAUUCAAGCGUUAUCCGGAAUCACUGGGCGUAAAGCGUCUGUAGGUGGUGAUGCAAGUCACUGGUGCAAAACUCUGGCUCAACCGGAGGAAAGCCAGUGAAACUGCAUGACUAGAGUGUGGGAGAGGUAGAAGGAAUUCCCUGAGUAGCGGUGAAAUGCGUAGAUACAGGGAAGAACACCGGAGGCGAAAGCGUUCUACUGGAACACAACUGACACUGAGAGACGAAAGCUCGGGGCGCGAAUGGG
rnacentral:rRNA from 1 species